GCUUCGCUGAGCCUCCUGGGCGUAGGGUUCCCGGGAAAGUGUGGAGUUGAUCAUUUUGGAUUUAAUACUGUGAAAACUUUUAAUCAGCGGUACCUAGUAGCUGAUAAAUACUGGAAGAAAAAUGGUGGAUCAAUACUUUUCUACACUGGUAAUGAAGGGGACAUUAUCUGGUUUUGUAAUAACACGGGGUUCAUGUGGGAUGUGGCUGAGGAACUGAAAGCUAUGUUGGUGUUUGCUGAACAUCGAUACUAUGGAGAGUCUCUCCCCUUUGGUGACAACUCAUUCAAGGAUUCCAGACACUUGAAUUUCCUGACAUCAGAACAAGCUCUGGCUGAUUUUGCAGAGUUAAUCAAACACUUGAAAAGAACAAUCCCAGGAGCUGAAAAUCAACCUGUCAUUGCCAUAGGAGGCUCCUAUGGUGGCAUGCUUGCCGCCUGGUUUAGGAUGAAAUAUCCUCAUAUGGUAGUUGGAGCUCUUGCAGCUUCUGCCCC
rnacentral:lncRNA from 1 species